rnacentral:sRNA from 2 species
GAGCAACGAUCGCCGAGUCCCCGUCGGGCGUGAGCCUGGGGAGCCGGGGACCCACCUGAGAUGUCCCUGGGGUGAAUCGGGCGGCGUGCCGCUGCCCGUAGGAGACCUUCCUGCUCCGAACCCGUCAGCUAACCCGGUAGGCGAGAAGGAAGGAAAGG